AGUGGGGAAUAUUGGGCAAUGGGGGAAACCCUGACCCAGCAACGCCGCGUGAGGGAAGAAGGUUUUCGGAUUGUAAACCUCUGUCCUUGGUGACGAAUAAAAUGACAGUAGCCAAGGAGGAAGCCCCGGCUAACUACGUGCCAGCAGCCGCGGUAAUACGUAGGGGGCAAGCGUUGUCCGGAAUGACUGGGCGUAAAGGGCGUGUAGGCGGCCGAUUAAGUCUGGAGUGAAAGUCCUGCUUUCAAGGUGGGAAUUGCUUUGGAGACUGGUUGGCUUGAGUGCGGAAGAGGCAAGUGGAAUUCCCAGUGUAGCGGUGAAAUGCGUAGAGAUUGGGAGGAACACCAGUGGCGAAGGCGACUUGCUGGGCCGUAACUGACGCUGAGGCGCGAAAGCGUGGGGAGCGAACAGGAUUAGAUACCCUGGUAGUCCACGCUGUAAACGAUGAAUGCUAGGUGUAGCGGGUAUCGACCCCUGCUGUGCCGCAGUAAACACAAUAAGCAUUCCG
rnacentral:rRNA from 1 species